UACGGAGGGUGCGAGCGUUGUCCGGAAUCACUGGGCGUAAAGGGCGCGUAGGCGGCUUCUUAAGCGUGCGGUGAAAGCUCGGGGCUCAACUCCGAGUCGGCCGUGCGAACUGGGAAGCUGGAGCACAGUAGAGGCAGAUGGAAUUCCGGGUGUAGCGGUGGAAUGCGUAGAGAUCCGGAAGAACACCGGUGGCGAAGGCGGUCUGCUGGGCUGUGGCUGACGCUGAGGCGCGACAGCGUGGGGAGCAAACAGG
rnacentral:rRNA from 1 species